rnacentral:rRNA from 1 species
UGAACCAGCCAUGCCGCGUGCAGGAUGACGGCCCUAUGGGUUGUAAACUGCUUUUCCACGGGAAGAACCCUCCGACGUGUCGGAGACUGACGGUACCGUGGGAAUAAGCAUCGGCUAACUCCGUGCCAGCAGCCGCGGUAAUACGGAGGAUGCAAGCGUUAUCCGGAUUCAUUGGGUUUAAAGGGUGCGCAGGCGGAAUAAUAAGUCAGCGGUGAAAGCCUACAGCUUAACUGUAGAACUGCCAUUGAUACUGUUAUUCUUGAGUGUUGUUGAGGUAGGCGGAAUGUGUCAUGUAGCGGUGAAAUGCUUAGAUAUGACACAGAACACCGAUCGCGAAGGCAGCUUACCAAGCAACAACUGACGCUCAUGCACGAAAGCGUGGGGAUCAAACAGGAUUAGAUACCCUGGUAGUCCACGCCGUAAACGAUGAUCACUCGAUGUUGGCGAUACACAGUCAGCGUCUUAGCGAAAGUAUUAAGUGAUCCACCUGGGGAGUACGGUCGCAAGAUUGAAACUCAAAGGAAUUGACGGGGGCCCGCACAAGCGGAGGAGCAUGUGGUUUAAUUCGAUGAUACGCGAGGAACCUUACCUGGGCUCGAACGUGGAAUGACAGUCGCGGAAACGUGAUCUUCUUCGGACAUUCUACGAGGUGCUGCAUGGUUGUCGUCAGCUCGUGCCGUGAGGUGUCGGGUUAAGUCCCAUAACGAGCGCAACCCCUAUCUUUAGUUGCCAUCAGGUAAUGCUGGGGACUCUAAAGAAACUGCCUACGCAAGUAGUGAGGAAGGCGGGGAUGACGUCAAAUCAGCACGGCCCUUACGUCCAGGGCUACACACGUGCUACAAUGGCCGGUACAGAGGGCAGCUACCUGGUGACAGGAUGCAAAUCUCCAAAGCCGGUCUCAGUUCGGAUCGAAGUCUGCAACUCGACUUCGUGAAGCUGGAUUCGCUAGUA